ACAUGUCUUUUAGAUUAUAAUUUAAAGUCAAAUCUGCUCAAUGAAUAUUUUAAAUAGCUGCAGUAUUUUAACUGUACAAAGGUAGCAUAAUCAAUAGUUUCUUAAUUAGAAGCUGGAAUGAAGGAUUCGAUAAAAUAAUUAUUGUCUCAAUUUUAAUAAUAUUAUAAUUUUUAUUUUAGUAAAAAUACUAAAUUGGAUUUAAAAGACGAGAAGACCCUAUAGAUUUUAAUAAUUUUUAUAUUUAUUUAUAUUAAAUUAAUUUUAUAAAUAAAUUUAAAAUUAUUUGAUUGGGGAAAUUUUUAAAUUAAAUAAAUUUUAAUUAAUAAUAAACAAUAAUAAUUGAAUUCUUGAUCUUAAUAUUUUGAAAUAUUAGAAUAAAAUACCUUAGGGAUAACAGCGUAAUUUUUUUAGAAAGAUCUUAUUAAUAAAAAAGUUUGCGACCUCGAUGUUGAAUUAAGAUUAAAUUUUAACGGAGAAGUUAAAAAUUUUAGGUCUGUUCGACCUUUAAAAUCUUACGUGA
rnacentral:rRNA from 1 species